rnacentral:rRNA from 1 species
GACGAACGCUGGCGGCGUGCUUAACACAUGCAAGUCGAACGGAAAGGCCCUGCUUUUGUGGGGUGCUCGAGUGGCGAACGGGUGAGUAACACGUGAGUAACCUGCCCUUGACUUUGGGAUAACUUCAGGAAACUGGGGCUAAUACCGGAUAGGAGCUCCUGCUGCAUGGUGGGGGUUGGAAAGUUUCGGCGGUUGGGGAUGGACUCGCGGCUUAUCAGCUUGUUGGUGGGGUAGUGGCUUACCAAGGCUUUGACGGGUAGCCGGCCUGGGAGGGUGACCGGGCCCAUUGGGACUGAGGUACGGCCCAGACUCCUACGGGGGGGAGCAGUGGGGAAUAUUGCACAAUGGGCGGAAGCCUGAUGCAGCAACGCCGGGUGCGGGAUGACGGCCUUCGGGUUGUAAACCGCUUUCGCCUGUGACGAAGCGUGAGUGACGGUAAUGGGUAAAGAAGCACCGGCUAACUACGUG